rnacentral:rRNA from 1 species
AACGAACUCUGGCGGCAAGCUUAACACAUGCAAGUCGAACGGUCCGUAUACGCAGCUUGCUGCGUGUAUGGUUAGUGGCAGACGGGUGAGUAAUGCAUAGGAAUCUACCUAGUAGUAUGGGAUAGCCACUAGAAGUGGUGGGUAAUACUGUAUAAUCCCUGCGGGGGAAAGAUUUAUCGCUAUUAGAUGAGCCUAUGUCAGAUUAGCUAGUUGGUGGGGUAAUGGCCUUCCAAGGCGGUGUUCUGUAGCUGGUCUGAGAGGAUGAUCAGCCACCCUGGAACUGAGACACGGUCCAGACUCCUACGGGAGGCAGCAGUGGGGAAUAUUGGACAAUGGGCGCAAGCCUGAUCCAGCUAUGCCGCGUGAGUGAGGAAGGCCUUAGGGUUGUAAAACUCUUUCAGUAGGGAAGAUAAUGACGGUACCUACAGAAGAAGUCC